GACUGUCCCACAUAGACGAUCAACAUAAGUAUCUUUGAAAACGGAAUUGAUUAGAAAUGUUCGGGUAUCAUGUGAAAAUAUGGGUACAAAAUCACAAUUAAGAACAGUGAAUGAUUGAAAAUGGAUAGCAAGAGGGAAGAUAAUCACUAACAUGCAAGUCGCGAGAGAGUGCAACGCUCCGCAGUUUCAGCAGAGCAAUAUUUGUAUUUUGAAGGAAGUCUUCAAGUGAGGUCAAUGCAUCCUUAAGCGCCAUGAUUUUUUGAAUUGUGUUUGUUUCUGGUUGAUCCCGAAUGGUCAGUUUUCCGAAGUCAUCCGUAAGACGUCCUUGCGCUUUCAGGCCUCGCAAAACGCAAAGUAUUCCCGCGCAAGUAAGAAGAAUCGUGGGAAAUACGUAGCGGAGCCAGUUCCUGGAUGUCAACACAAAUUUACAUUUCACAUCAGCAAGAUGAAGAGCAGCAAAUUGUACUCUAAACGUUUAUGCUACCAAAUAUUUGAAUGCAUUUGAGGCGGAUGAGGUAUGCGUAACGUACAUGUACACCACACCCAGAGCUGCAAUUAAAAACCCUGCAGUUGCUCCAGGCUCUUCCCACCGUUUCAAUUUUUGAACGUUCGUAGCAAUUAUUGAGAAUGGUAGCAAAAGCUCCUGAAAAAUAGUGAACCUCACACGAGCUUAAUGUUGGUAUGAAUUCAUUGUAAGACAUCCUCUCCAGCAACAUGUAGACGAGAAAACAUGUUCUACAAAUUUUCUUUGAAUCUGGCGAAGUGAUCUACUUGGAGAUGAGAAGCUCCACCUUAAGCAGAUCCACAUUGUUUGGAAUACCCUUCAAUUUAGCUCCAUCAAUGGUUGCCUUCGUUUUAUCAACGACACGGCUCUGUUCACGCCAUUCUCCAACUGCCCGGUCUAAAUUCGUCAAUCCCCCCACUGAGAAAUUCUUCCCGAGCACUAAGCCUUUUGAUCCCCCUUUAUGAGCUUUCCAGAAGUUCUGGGACUUGAUUGAGUCCCACGUUUGCGAUGUCAUCCAUUUGGAAAGAUAAAUGCUACCAUCCUCGCUCACAACGUUCUGCCCAGUUCCUACUUGCUCCUCCUCUGCCCCAUUUGAUGCAGACAACUCCUUGGCCUUUGAGUCUACGCGGCCAGCCCAAUUCGUGACUGCAAGGGCCUCGAAUACCAGCUCCGCACUUGGAGCAUCCUUCGUGGAACAAAACUGGAGUAGGCUUCUUGAAUCAUCUGGCGAGUGACCAAGAGCGUGCUGAACAGCCUAUUUCCAAAAUGCAAC
rnacentral:lncRNA from 1 species